UUUGCAAUCAAAAGUCUUACAAAUUGCUUUGUCUGAGGCCAGGGAAGUGAAGACCUCUUACCAGGGAUUGGUAUAUCCGCUCCACGCCUGCAGAGGUAAGCCAAUACACCAUUUGGCUAGAGGAAAGUAAUAUUGAUUAAUGGUACAGGCAAAAGGGUCUCAGUCUUUUUAGGCAAAGAGAUGCAAAAAGUUUUCAAAACAGCAACAUAUUUUCUAUCCUGAAACCCUUUUGUAGGCAAUCUGAAAGUACUACUGUGCCUGGGCAUUUUUCUUUUUUCUCUAUUGUUCAAUUAUUUAUGAUAACUUAUAAUGCAAUAGCAUCGGUAAGCCGUAGUUAGCCAAGUCCCUUUGUAUCACCCACAAAAAUGAUGGUACUGGGAAGUGUUAAGUCUCUGCUCUGAUGAUAGUUGCUGUUCUCCCCAUUCUCCUUGAACACCACACUAAGAGUGAUGUUUGCAUCCAUUGUAAAUUGUAAUAGACCUGAAGGGAAUUGCCUGUACCUGCAUUUGCUUUCUCAUAAAAAAAAAAAAAAAAAAAAAAAAAGGGGAAAUAACAUUUUACUGAGGCACGUUUCUCCUGGCUGCUUGGAACAGGGGUCGGGUGACUCAUGUUUGUGGUUGCUCAUGCUUCAAUCUCUUCUGCUGCUUACAGCUUGGUCUUGCUGUUUGUUUUGCACAUUUUGCCGCUCUCCUACUUGUUAAACAUUUUAUACCAGACCAAUGAAUAACAGUUGAUGUCUGUCCUUUUCACCCAGACAGAUAUGACUGUAAAUAAAACACCUGCUCUGAAAGAAAAUAAAAUUGGGAACUUGAAAACAAGUCAGUCUUUCAGCCGAGCUACAAACCAUGGUCAUAUGCUUGAGGACAGAUUUUAACCCCAGUCUUGAGCAACAAUUAAUCUAUAUUUUGGCAUGUUCCCAGCAGAGGAUGGAUAACGAACAUCAGAUACAGGUUCUGAAAGAGCUCUUGCUGCUGGGACGCUUGCAGUUCUUCUGGCAAUGACCUGAGGGUCCUAACUGAUCAUAGCUCCCAAUAGCUGGACUGGUCAUUUCACAGAACUAGGACAGAUUUAAAGAUUUUCCUUAUGCUAUUUUCCCUCUAAUUUAGAACCACUGAGUUACCCGUUUUCAAUGAUAUUUUUAAAAGUCUUAACUGCUUGCAAUUUUAUUUAAUAAGCUAAAAUGUUGCAUUUAUGUUACAUUUUAACUUGCAAAUAAGUCAGUCCAGAUUUCCGAUAUGCAUUUUGCACUCAGGGUAAAAUAUGGAUAUCAAGAUGGAGUUGCAGGCUUAAAGAAAUAAUAAUAGCAGUAAUUCUGUUGAGUAUGAACCCAGAAGGUCUAUUGCAAUUGCCUUGCCUGAUCUUCUAUAUAAAACAGUUCAGAGGACUUCCUUUAAAUAAUAUUUAUGUAGAGUAGACUGUAUCUUUUAGGGGAAAAAUCUAAUUAUGAUUUUAAAAAAUACGGUAAUUUUAAUAACAACUGGCCUUUUGUCAUUGUCUCCCUAAUGCAUAUGUGAGCCACAUCCUUAACAGUGGUUUCCUUUAAUGCCAUUUCAAUCCCCGUUAUACUUUUUUGAUAUAUCUUAUUGCAAGAGCAUAAAUAAUACCUAGUGCCUUUACAAGGUUUCAUAUUAAUUAAGCGGAAAUUAUUGCUUAUUUCCUGAUGUAGAGGCUCUAUAACAUAAAAUCAGGUUGUUGUUUUUGUCUUUGUAUUUUUAUGUGUGUUUGGAUUUCCUGAGAACGGCUUUAUUUUGAGUAACAAGGUUUUUACUUUUAAGAAACACAGGGCAAGACAGAAAUCAGUUAGAGAGCUGUAAAAAUAUUGAGCUGUUGACAAUUUUCAAAAAUCUUUUAUACUGAAAAAUGUGGACUCAUUAAAUUUAUCAUACAGUCUGCAACUGAAAGUAAGAAAGAGGUUGCUGGCUAGAUAAGGUAUUCAGGAUUCCAGUGAAAUAGUACAAAUAAAAAUUCAGUGUUUUCCAAAUAAAAUAGUCUUUAAUUGUUUUUCCCAGUAAGGACUUCUUCCACCUCCACACUAAUAAGCAUUCUUCUGUGCUUCAACUAGCUACCCACUCACUUUCUCUCUUUAAAGACAUCGGCUCUUCCAAUUACCAUUGAGAAUUUUCAGUCUCUCAUUAAAUUUGGAGCAGUAGGCAAUUUAAUCAGGUGGUAAUCAGUGUAACAUUACAGAAAAUGACCUUUAGAAAUGGUAUGUUAGAAAUUUGGAUACUCUGUUUUAUCAUACAAGUUCUUACUGUUUAGUUAGUUUACAGUUCUGUUUGGAAAAAAAUAGAUGACUUGUAGACAGCAAUGGAAUAUGGUCAAAGGUAGAAAUAAUGAUUUUCUUUAUACAUCAUUGUCUUUGAUUUUACAUACAAUCUCCUAUAAAUCAAGCAAAUCUUAAAUUUGGUUCCCCCCUUCUAAAGCCCUGUUUGUACAGGCUCAGACAAGCACGGAGCUGGCAGGGAGUCUGGGACGUUGUUUUACAGCAUCAUUCCUCGGACAAAAUCCACUUUUUGGCUGUUUAUUUUUGUUUUCCUAGUUAAAGUACCAUCUCCCAUUCCUUGCAAAGAAAUCCUUUUGCAGAGGGAGGUUUUACGUUACAAGGUGUGAUUCAGAGAGUGCUCGUGGGCUGUGGCAGUGGAGCUCAUGGCACCCAUGGGAUCAGCAGGCAAGCUGAGCACUGCAGACUACUGCAGGGCUUGGUCUUCUCUGCUGUGGGGACAGGGGCCAGUGGCUCCAGAGAAUCUUUUUCCAGACUCCCUAGAGACUUAAGACAUCACUCUGUCAAAAAGUUUGCUUAAACAAGGGCAAAUAGGUAGAAUGGGAAAGCUGCCAGCCCAAAAUGAGUGGUCUGCUGGCACAGCAUGAUUUGGCAUGGCAUAAUUCUGAUGAAGCAUUCUAAGCCAUUCAGUGCGAUUGCUGCCUGUGUUCAUUACAAGUUGGCAAAUUGUAACUACCCUCAUACAAAUAAGCCAUUGUAAAUUUGGGUUUUAGUUAAGCAAAUUUAGUUGGGUAGGAGAACUGAGAUCCAAAGCAACUGCCUGUCCCAUGCACUCAAAUCACAAAUCAGUAUUUUUUUCUCCCCAUUCAUGACAUUACAAGCACAUGUAGUCCUUAAAAAUUCUGGAAUUUGCAGCUUAGUCACAAAAUUCUACAUCCCCUCUGAUACAAGUCUUUUUAUGUGUGAUCCAGACCAGUUAAAGCCGUGCGCUUGUAUGCUGUUUGGAGGCUGUCUGUGUAAUGCCUGCGUAAUACAAGGUGAACAGAGAAGAUUUGACUUUUGUCACUCUUCUAGCACUGAUGUGAACUGGGUGUAUGGUCUGGGGUAGUAGACCCAGUGUACUUUGUGUUUCUUAGACACUAGCAUUGUCUGGGGAUCUAAAUAUAUCUUUCAUAUUAUAUCACAUUAAGUUAUGUAAUAGAACACUACUUAGCACUGCCAGCCAGAGGAGAAGAUACGUCAUCCUCUUACACAUCUGUAUCAUAAAUACAAAAGUAUUUAUGUUAAGAAGGCAGGACUACCAGAAUUUCCUAAGAGAAGUAUCUUAAAGGUGUUAUUGUUACGGCAGUUCUGCUUCAGUUUUGGUGAUGAAAUCUGAAUCAGCUCCUUGCAGGAAAAGAAUACCAGUUUCAUGGGAUUAGAAUUAACGAAGAGGCACCAAUUUCUCCCCUUGGUGGAUUAGAGAAAUUAACAAAAAACCAGCAUGCCAAAAUUGAGCAUCCCAGUACUACCCUUACAUAUUUCCUGAGUACACAUCCAGGAAGAAAAUUUGACAGUGAAGCAGUGUUUAAUGCUCUUUCUUUCACAGUUGGUGAAUAACAAAAAUGUUCAGCAAAAUGAACCUCAAGAGAGAGGCCAAACUCAAGAGCAACUAAGUGGAAAUUAAAAACCAUGAGAACUUUCAAUGGCCACUUACCAAAAGUGAAAUGGGUUCCCUCUGCUGUCUUCUGGAUUUAAAUUCUCUUUUACAAAAUAUGAAAUGAGAAUGUCAAAAUACUAGCCAGUGAUAUGCAAUACUGUAAUUCGUUGAAUAUUUUAGGAUUCUGCUUUGAGUUGUUGUCUCUAAGCAACACGUCAGUCAGCAUUGCACUAUUUCAUAUGACUAUAAAAUAUAUACAUUUUUUCUCACCUAAAUAGCAAUAUUGUUAAAACCUUUGAGGACAGCUAUGUUAAACAGCGGAUUAGUUGGUAAAAGCCAGAAGAUCGAUAUUGUAUUGUUUUGACUCCUCACUAUAGGACUCAACUGGGAAAGCUGCUCAUCAAAAACACAUUGAAAUGGAGACAAAAAGAGAUAUGAAUUACCGGGUGUGUAACGAGAUUAAUUGAAGAAAAGUCUGGAGGGAAUUUUACAGAUGUCCUAGUCAUGAGAAACUUUGCAAAAAGCUUGUGAAGCUGCCCACAGAUUUGAAGCUGUGAGAAAUCUGAAAUGCCACGGAUGACUAUGACGCUACUUAAAAUUGCUGAGGUUAAUGGACUGCAUGGUUCUCUGUCUUAUCUGCUGGAGAACUACUUUGGACUGAAUCAAGAUAUAAACAAAAUUACCAAAUAUCAUGAAACUAAUGUCAUUGGUGUAAGAGCUGGUAAAUGGCAACAGCUACAGAGAGUAGAAGUCUACAUUCAAAACAGUUUUGUCAAAAAAAGGUUUUGAACUUUAAGCCCUUUCCUUUCGUUUUUCUCUGGGAAGUGUAGAUGACAGCAUUUGAAUUUUAUUCUGGAUAUACAAAUAUGUAUGUUUUAAUAAAGUCCUGUGAACAUUUAUA